rnacentral:rRNA from 1 species
GACGGCUGUAACUAUAACGGUCCUAAGGUAGCAAAUUUCCUUGUCGUCUUAAUAACGACCUGCAUGAAACAUGGAACAAAUUGAUAGCUGUCUUUUACUUACAUCAUGGUGAAAUAUUCUUCAGUACAAAUAAUAUGCUGUUGUCUUUUUGUAGCUAAAGGACAAAAAGACCCUUUGAAGCUUAAUAGAGAUAGUUUUUCGAAUUCUUUGUGCUAAAAUAUCAGAUUUUCUUGUAUUUGCAAGAGUUAAUUGCAUAUAACUUGAUCAAGACCACUGUUUAAUUGGGGCGAUUUCCUUAUUUAAUUUACCUAAGGUGAACAAAGUAAUAAAAGGAUAUAAAAUUAUUCAACUCAGUAGUUUAAAGAUAUAAAUUUUACUUAAUUUCCCAUAGACGUCUUGGGCUAGUUUUUAAUGGCUAUCUUAAUGAGCUUUAAAAUAAUUUAUCUGAGUGAAGCUACUCUACGGAUAACAGGCUUAAUUUCUGCAAUAUUUAAGUUCACAUUUUCAAGAAAAAUGCACCUCGAUGUCGGCUUAUCGUCACCAAAAUAUGUAGCUAGCUUAUUGGUGGGAGUGCUCAUCCCAUAAUUCGGUACGUGAGCUGGGUUCAAUACG